rnacentral:lncRNA from 1 species
AUGCAGAAUUGAGCUUGGAUGGAGAAAUGGAGUUCACAGAAUGGACUGGGGACUGUCUGAGCAGCAAUGAAAACAUAUGUGUACCGGGAGGGAAGGACAGAGCCACCUGCAGAGAUAUUCUGUACCUGGAGACCACACGCCUUUCAGUAGAAGAAUUUCCCAUAGAGGCUACUGUUCUUGUUUCCAGGUGGGUAGUUGCAUGUAUCUUAACCUGAA